AAAAGAUCUUCUUAUGCCCAUAAUAUUUCAAUUUCUCCAUGUGUAAAAUCUUUCUACCAAAGAAGAUCUCUUUAUCAUCCACUGGAUAUUGAAAAGACGACUUCGAAUAUGGUCAAAUUGAAGUUGAUUCUACGAACCAAAUACCGAUAAAUAGACAUUUUUUGUAUCCAACUGCACAAAUCAUUUUAAGGUAUUAUAUUAUAAUGUGAAUAAUUAUAGAGGCGAUCCAACUGGUAGAUUAGGUUCUUUGUUUUUCUUAUUUUGAUUUAACAAAAAUGACGUUUCAAACAUUUAUAAAUUAGUCUUACUUUGUUGUCCUUCGUUUACUUUGGCACUUUUGGAUUUACAAUCUUUGGUCCAUUUUUGUUGUAUUGGUAAGUUGAAGUCUUUUGGUUGUUUUUCUUUUGUUGUAUUUGUUGUUCUGGUGGGUAUGUGAUGAUUUUAGUCCUUUUUUUAAUUGACUUAGAUCUGUUAGCAGUCUAAUUAAUUUCUGAAUUUUAGGUUAGUUUAUAAAAUGUUUUAAAUUCUUGCCUUUGCAUUUUGCUCUAUUAUCAUUCCAAUUUUUCAAAUUUGCAAGUUCCUCGAAACUUUUUCGGAAAUGAAAUCCCACCUAAAGCAAGGGAGAAGGGACACAGGUUGGUUUUCUCUGUCGAGGUAAAUACCAAUAUUUGGUUAUAUACAUUGAGGUUUGGUAAAAAUCUUUUCAUUACGUAUUAAUUCCGGAUGAAUUUAGCACUGCUAGAGUCCAUUGUAGCAAUGUUCACGAAGUAUAAUAUAGGAUAUCGUUAUUAUUAACAUGUUAUUUAGGGUGUUUGCGCAAGGUCAUAUUCGUUUGCCAGAUAUAUGUAAGGUCGGGUGAAAGGUUUAUUCGCGUUUCUGUACUGUUGGUCUCACCACAAGCUACUUUUGGACCCUUAAUACCAAUAUUUGAGCUUGGAUGAAGUAUAAAAGUUCAGUAUUUUUUUCCAGGGGCCUACUAUAUGUUCAGUUCGUACAAUUCUCAAUAAGUUUUAAGCUCAGUUUUGUAUAACAUCACAGAGGUUGGGGAAAAUGUAAAUUAUCAAUUAUGUGAAUGCUUUGACAGAAGGUCUACAGAUGUUGACAGGAACAAGGAGUUUGUAGUAUUGUGAACUAUUGGAACUCAUGCUUUUGUAAAUAAUUUUUUUCGUUUGAUCGUUGGCAUGUUGAUAUCAAUGAAAGAUUUUCCUAACAACAAUCCACUUAUACAAAUAUCGGCAAUCAUUCUAGGUAUGGAAUGGGUUAUCUUAAAUAGUUGGUUAGACAUAGGUUAAAUUUGGCCUCAUGUAGUCAUCAAGUAUUAAUGUUCCUUUCAAGGUUAUGUACAAAAUGGUGUGUGUACAUGUAUUCUCUUUGAUUUCUGAAGUAAGUUGGAUGUUAAUCCUAUAUUUUUGUAUGUAUAAGCAAAAUUGAAAAAGCGUGUAUGGAACCGCGACAUGUUGGAUUUUGGGAACAUGAACACCAACA